AAUUUUUAGCAGAUACCAAGAUGCAAAGGGAAAAUUUAACGAACCCCUUAGCAACGACAUCAAAGGUCUAUUGAACUUAUAUGAAGCUUCACAUGUAAGGACUCAUGGAGAAGACAUCUUAGAAGAGGCACUUGCUUUCUCCACUGCUCAUCUUGAAUCUGCAGCUCCACAUUUGAAGUCACCUCUGAGUAAGCAAGUCACACAUGCCCUUGAGCAAUCUCUCCAUAAGAGCAUUCCAAGAGUUGAGACACGAUACUUCAUCUCUAUCUACGAAGAGGAGGAACAUAAGAAUGAUGUGUUGCUUCGAUUUGCAAAACUGGACUUCAACUUACUUCAGAUGUUGCACAAACAAGAACUCAGUGAAGUAUCAAGGUAUGCUAGCUAGUAAUUUACAUGAAAAAUAUAAAUUAAUUGUUACUCGAUAGUAAUUUCUCAAAUCAAUUCUAAAUUUUUAAGAUUGAUUCUUAUUUUAUAGGUGGUGGAAAGAUUUGGAUUUUGUGACAACACUUCCAUAUGCUAGGGAUAGAGCAGUUGAGUGCUACUUUUGGACGAUGGGAGUGUAUGCUGAACCUCAGUAUUCUCAUGCUCGUGUCAUGCUUGCUAAGACUAUAGCAAUGAUUUCUAUAGUAGAUGACACAUUCGAUGCUUAUGGAAUCGUAAAAGAACUCGAGGUUUACACCGAUGCCAUACAGAGGUAUGAACAAUUGCCUCUCCAACAGCAAAUGGUUAAUUUCUUAGAAGGGAAACUUACUUAAUCUUUAUCUUUUAUUAGGUGGGAUAUCAGCCAAAUUGAUCGGCUCCCAGAUUACAUGAAAAUCAGUUAUAAAGCACUUCUAGAUCUCUACAACGAUUAUGAAACAGAGUUGUCAAUGGAUGGUAGAUCCGAUGUUGUUCACUACGCCAAAGAAAGAGUAUGAAUCAUGACUUAUACUAGUUAUCUCAAUAUUAAUCAGUUUGUUAACGAAUAUCUGUAGCUUUUUCUCCUCAUCUUUGCGUAUAAGGAAAUUCAUUUUUUGAAUAAAUACUGAUGUUUGAGUGUCUUUGCUUGUUGUUGACAGAUGAAAGAAAUCGUGAGAAACUAUUUUGUGGAAGCAAAAUGGUUCAUUGAAGGAUACAUGCCACCUGUUUCUGAGUAUCUUAGCAAUGCAUUAGCUACUAGCACUUAUUACUUGCUUACGACAACAUCCUACUUGGGCGUGAAAUCUGCUAACAAGGAAGAUUUUGAAUGGUUGGCUAAGAACCCUAAAAUCCUUGAAGCCAAUGUGACUUUAUGUCGAGUCAUUGAUGAUAUAGCAACCUAUGAAGUUGAGAAGGGUAGAGGUCAGAUUGCAACUGGAAUUGAGUGUUAUAUGAGGGAUUAUGGCGUAUCAACAGAAGUAGCAAUGGAAAAAUUCCAAGAGAUGGCUGAGAUAGCAUGGAAGGAUGUAAAUGAAGGAAUUCUUCGACCAACACCUAUCUCUACAGAAAUCCUUACUCGUAUUCUCAAUCUGGCUCGUAUUAUAGAUGUCACUUACAAGCACAAUCAAGAUGGAUACACUCAUCCAGAGAAGGUUCUAAAACCUCACAUUAUCGCUUUGUUGGUAGAUUCUAUUGAAAUUUAAAUUAUCAAUUCACCAAGGAAUACUUGGUACUUCUCAGUCCCUUAAAUAAGUAAUUGGUGAUAUCGUGCAAUGAAGUUACUUUCUUAACUUUCUUCUUUGUAUUAUCAUUGAUAAUAUUUAAAUUUAAUUACUUCAGUUUCUACCUAGCUGCUUUAGCUUAAUUUGUUUAAGUUAUGUAAAACAAUUCUGAAAGUCAUGACGUGAAAGAAUAUGCUUCAACAGUUUCUGAUUAGCCACAAGAAAAUAAAUAAAAAAUUGAAUAUUCCGUACCUGUCAAAAACGUAUUGACCUCCAUUGCAAGGGCAACUGCGAAUUUUUGGACAUUAUAGUCAACAGGAGCCAUUUGUUUAUUUCUUUUUUAAUUAUUAAAAUUUGGUAAGAUUUGAAAGUAUAUAUAUAAAAAAAGAAAUUAUCAUGUAUUAGCUAGGGAUAAUUUUUCUCACAUGAAAAUAUUUCAAUGGAACGGUUUAUUCAUAACCUUAAAAAGAUUGAAUCAUUUGAAUUUAUAUUUAGCGUGUCAAGAAAAGUACCGCAGAACUAACAUUAAAAUCAAGAAUCAGAAAAAAUCAUAUAUAUUCUUUUAUAUAUAAUUUUAAAAAUGAAAAUUCCUAAGGAUGAGUAUGUCUGUAUUACAACUCGAGGUCAUUCAACUUUAAAUUUAUUAUUCUAAUCUUUUUAUUUGGUAAAAGUCAUCCAAUUUUAAAGUUUAGCACACAAUUUUUUAUGUGAUAAAUUUUAUCAUUUUAUGUAACAAGUAACAAAAAAUAAAAAAAUAAAAAUGUAGGGCUAAUUUCUUGCUAGAUUAAUGAGAACUCCUGCAAGUGUCUACAACUUCCAUGUUUUUUUCUCACAUUUGUCUCUACACUCCCCUCCUCAUUUCGUUUUUCAGUUGUUUACAAUACUAUGAAUCCUAAAGGGACUACUUUUGUUAGACAAAUUAAAUCCCUAGUAGUAUGUAAUAUUAUUUGUGGUAAUAGUUAUAUAUAUAUAUACAUAUAAACCUCACGAAGGAAAAAGAAAAAGAAAAAAGAGAGACGAGAUUAAGAACUUGUUUGGAUGAGCGAGCUUAUAAAAAUAAAUUAUAAGUCAAAAUUAAAAAUCAUAAGUAGAUGAUACUCUAUUUUUGACUUUUGACCUAAAAAUGAGUACUUAAAAACACUUUUUAAUCUUUCCAAAUGAGCACUAAGCUAUGAACAAACUUAAAAGAAAAAAAAUACUUUUAUGUAGAAAUUGACAAGUGAAAAUGAAUUUAGGUUACCUCAGAAAGUAAAAACACUUUGAGGCAAUUUUGAAUUCAAAGUUGCUACAUUCUGCAGCCAAAGAAAUAAAAAAUUCUUAAAGUGCCAUCAAAGUAGACCCUGAAUCAACAAGCACAUAUGAAUAUGCAAUAAUGACAAGAAAAACUAACAUAAACAAUCACUACAUUAUUAAAAAUGAUCUUUAACAGCAAUUAAUUAACAAUUGUCGCUAAAUAUUUAUUUUUAGCGACAAUUAGCAUUCUUUGUAUAUGUCCAUAAAGGUUUUAGCGACAUUGAAUUUAAUGGCACUUAACUAAUGCCAAUAAAGACUUUCAGGGGCGUAUACAAGAGGGGGUCACCGGGUUCACGUGAACCCAUGGUCCCCUCCCGAAAUCAUAUAUAGUAGUGUUAUAUUUUUUUAAAAUAUUUAAAUAUAGAUGUAUGAACCCAGACUCGAAGUAUCAUAUAAUGUAGUACGAUGAUGAUUGGGUGCACCUCUCUAGGUGAGGUUAGAAAUUUGAAUCUUUUAUCUAUCUUGUUUUAGUUUUCUUUCUAAGAUUUUGUAACUGGUUUGAAUAAAUAAAAGAUAAUUUUGGACCUAUGAUUUUAAAAUUUUAAUGAUUUUCAGUAAAAAGAAUCUAACCGAUCAAAUUUAUGUCUUAGAUCCACCUUUUUGUAAUAGUGCACCCAUUAUCUAUAAAUCCUGAAUAUGCCUCUGAAGACUUUAAUACUCUUUAUUAAUUAUCUAUUUAUUACCGCUAAAAAUUAUUUUUGUUAUAGUGAAUAACGAACACAUACAACGUCACUAUAUUUUUUUAUGUAUAAUAUAUAGUCUUUUUCUUGAGUUGAAAUUAGAAACUCUAGUGAAGCAUCGGGCCAACAAAAUCUCCAGUCGCCAAACAAGGAAAAAGAAUAUGAUAAGGCACAAGGAAUUAAAAAAGAAUUGAUUUAAUUUCUACACAGUUAUCAUAUAAUAUUUUUUUUUGUAUAUAUUAGGUCUCUAGAAGAUAAGUAUGGGCAACAUGCUACAACUGGUUAAAAAAAUUUAAACAUGGUCAGAUGGUCACUUAAUUAUGAGCUGUUUUUACAUAAAGUUAAUUAUGAACUGUUUUUACAUAAAGUCAUUCAGUUUUGAUUUUUAACUCACAAGUCACUUAACUAUGAAUUUUUUCAUAGAAAGUUAUUCAACAACUUUGAUUUUUAAAUCAAAAGUCACUCUAUUAUGGAUUCUUUUCACAAAAAAUAACUAAACUGUGUGUUUUACUUGCAAAAUCAGUCAACUUAUUUAAUUAAUUUUUUCAAUAAAAUUUAUUAACUUGAAAUUUUUAUUGAAAACUAAAAUUUUUAAAAAUCUAGAUAUUAUCUCAUAUAAACAGUUAAAAAUAGUAUAUAAAAUUAAAAUUCAAAAAGGAAAAAAAACAUGCUGAGUGUGUGUAUAUAUAGGCUGCGUAUUAUUGCUCAGUUCGGUUCGAUUUUGAAAUUUAUCGGUUUGACUUAUUGGUUAUCGGUUUGACUUAUUGGUUAUCGAUUUGUAGAGAUGCUAAACCGCUAUAGAACCAUUAACAUAUUGACUUAUCGGUUAUUGGUUUAUCAGUCAAACCAAAUGAACGUAACCAUGCACAUGAAUUCACAAAUUGCAUCUUGCUCAAUAACAAACACUUUUAUAUUGUAGAAUAACCAAGAGUUCGAGAUAGCCAAAAAUAAAAGUAGGAAACUAAACUCUAAGUCAAGGACUUAAAUUUAUAUACAAUGGUAUAAAUAAAUUAUUUAAUUUAUUAUUGAAUUAUCGGUUAACCCGUUAAAAAAAAGUUUCAAACUAUUAAGAACUGAUAACUGGAUAACAAAAAAAAUUCAAAACCACUAUCAUAAAAAUAGCUAAAUUAUUAACUCAUUACUGAUAAAUGAAAAAAAAAAAUUAAUACGAAUUAUCGAUUUUGAUUAGAUUUUCCUAAUGUAUAGUCAACAAAGUGCGGCAGUUGGAUGACUAGCAACAGUAACAAGGUAUUUUUUAAACGUGAAAGAUGGCUGAGACAGGGGUUCUCACCAUACAUUAUAAAUACUCUGAUUUUCCACAAGCAAAGUGUAUAUACUAGAAAUGGCCUCAGCUGCAGUAAUGAGUAACUAUCAAGAGGAGGAAAUUAUUCGCCCCGUUGCUGACUUCUCUCCAAGUCUUUGGGGUGAUCGGUUCCAUUCAUUCUCCCUUAGCUUGACAAUCAGGUAUUUAAGGAACUUCCUUUGUAAUGCUGUUAUAUAUAUAAUCAGUUGUUGGAACAGACUUGUUUUAAAAAUGAUUUUUUUUUUGUUUUUAUAUAUAUGUACAGGUUGCGGAGAAGUACGCUCAAGAGAUUGAAACUUUGAAGGAACAAACAAGGAGUUUGUUGUCUGCUUCUUGUGGAAUAACAUUGACUGAGAAAUUGAAUCUGAUAGACAUUGUUGAGCGUCUUGGCAUAGCUUAUCAUUUUGAGAAACAAAUAGACGAUAUGUUGGACCAUAUUUUUAACAUUGAUCCUAACUUUGAGGCUCAUGAAUACAAUGAUUUAUGCACUCUAUCCCUUCGAUUUCGAAUCCUAAGACAACAUGGUUACAACAUCUCUCCAAGUACGUAAUUAAUGUAUAUCAACCAACCACUACGUACAUACAUUCUUCUUUGUUUUUGGAGUAAUUGAAAUUCUAGCUACCUAAUUCUUUGUUUUCAACUGUUCAAUUCAUGAACCAGAAAUUUUUAGCAGAUUCCAAGAUGCAAAGGGAAAAUUCAAGGAAUCUCUUAGCAACGACAUCAGGGGUCUAUUGAACUUAUACGAAGCUUCACAUGUAAGGACUCAUGGAGAAGAUAUUUUGGAAGAGGCACUUGCUUUCUCCACUUCUUAUCUAGAGUGUGCUGCUCCACAUUUGAAGUCACCACUGAGUAAACAAGUGACUCAUGCCAUUGAGCAAUCUCUUCAUAAGAGCAUUCCAAGAGUUGAAACACGCUACUUCAUCUCCAUCUACGAAGAGGAGGAAUGUAAGAAUGAUGUGUUGCUUCGAUUUGCAAAACUGGAUUUCAACUUACUUCAGAUGUUGCACAAACAAGAACUAAGCCAAGUAUCAAGGUACGCUAGUAAUUUAAAUGAAAAAAAGUACUAUUAUUUGUUGAUAGUGACUCUCAGAAACUGAUAUACUUUAUAGGUGGUGGAAAGAUUUGGAUUUUGUGACAACACUUCCCUAUGCUAGGGAUAGAGCAGUUGAGUGCUACUUUUGGACUAUGGGAGUGUAUGCUGAACCUCAAUACUCUCAGGCUCGUGUCAUGCUUGCUAAGACUAUAGCAAUGAUCUCAAUCGUAGAUGACACAUUCGAUGCCUAUGGCAUUGUUAAAGAACUUGAGGUCUACACUGAUGCAAUACAGAGGUACGAAUUACUUCUUGAACAUUUAUGAUUUAAUUAGAUGAUACUAUAAAUUAAAGGGAAAAAAGCAAACUAUAUCGAACAACACAUCUUUGUUCAAUUUUGAAUUUUUGCCUACAAACACUAGAUCACAUUUCUAUAUGUUCUGAUGAACUUAUCAAAUUCAUUUCUUUUUCAUUUAUUAGGUGGGAUAUUAACCAAAUUGAUCGGCUCCCUGAUUACAUGAAAAUCAGUUACAAAGCACUUCUAGAUCUCUACAACGAUUAUGAAACAGAGUUGUCAAAUGAUGGUAGAUCAGAUGUUGUUCACUAUGCAAAAGAAAGAGUAUGAAUCAUGACUUAUUCCAGUUAACCAGUUUAUCAACCAAUUGUGAAGCUUUUUCUCCCAAUUUUUGUUUGUAAUGAAAUUUAUUCUUUGAAGAAGUACGGACGUUUGAAUAUAUAUCUUUUGGUUGUUAUUGAUAGAUGAAAGAAAUUGUGAGAAACUAUUUUGUGGAAGCAAAAUGGUUCAUUGAAGGAUAUAUGCCGCCAGUCUCUGAGUAUCUUAGCAAUGCAUUAGCUACUAGCACUUAUUACUUGCUUACGACAACAUCCUACUUGGGCAUGAAGUCUGCUAACAAGCAAGAUUUUGAAUGGUUGGCCAAGAACCCUAAAAUUCUUGAAGCCAAUGUGACCUUAUGCCGAGUCAUAGAUGACAUAGCCACCUAUGAAGUUGAGAAGGGUAGAGGUCAGAUUGCAACUGGAAUUGAAUGUUAUAUGAGGGAUUAUGGGGUAUCAACAGAAGUAGCAAUGGAAAAAUUUCAAGAAAUGGCUGAGACAGCAUGGAAGGAUGUAAAUGAAGGAAUCCUUCGACCAACUCCCGUGUCUACAAAGAUUCUCACACGCAUUCUCAAUCUUGCUCGCAUUAUUGAUGUCACUUAUAAGCAUAAUCAAGAUGGAUACACUCAUCCCGAAAAAGUAUUAAAACCUCAUAUUAUAGCCUUGUUGGUGGACUCCAUUGAAAUUUAAAUCAUCAAUUAUUGUGUACAUCUGGGAGCACUUGGUUCCCAACCCCUCAAAUUUGUAUUUGAUUGAUGUUUGAUGCCUUGUUGGUAACUCUUUACUAGGGUAAGAACUGCUGGCGAUAGAUGUUGUUAUCGUGCAGUGAAGUUACCUCUCUAAAUUUUUUUAUAUCAGUAUUGACAUAUGAAAUAUAUUACUUCUUUUUAUAUAUGCCUACUUGUUUUAUGAGGUUUGAGAUAAAAUCUAAAGCAUUUCUGAAAAUGGUUUGGUAGACUACACCUCAGCCGUAGCAACAGAUCCUGAUAUAAUAAGCCCAUGAUAAGAAAUCAAAACAUAAAAGAAAACUUCCCAAAUAUAAUAAACCACUUAAAAUUAAUACUACGUAAGAAUCAACCAAGUAAGACGGCAAAAAUUAAUAUAGCCACAGUACAAGUAUUAGUACCACUAAUUGAGGUGUACUAGGAGGGGUAAUUUGAGCCAUAUUAGUGAGUCUAUUUUAUUUAUAUUUAAUUAAAUGGAUCACUCAUUGUUAGCAACAAAUUUUUGUAAGCGCUGAAAAUUAACUGCAAGCAAAAUAAAUAAAAGAAAAUGUGAUUUUUAUUGAUGAAUCGUUGUGAGUACAAUUCUGUUGUUCUCUUGAUUCUCUCUCCUAAGCUUCUCCAAGAUUCGAGGGUCUUCAGUAGCGUACUUUUCGAAUUGUUGGAUGAUGUAAACCUCCUUGAGAUGUUGUCGAUCUCCGGGAACGUCGAAAAGCGCUUCGCCGUUUCAAGUCGAUCUCCGGGAAGAACUCCGUUGAUCACUCCUUUGAAGAGCUAUGUAGUUGAUGUUGCAGCUUUCUCCAAUUGCAGAAUGCUUGUUGAAAGGUGUUCUUAAUGCCUUUAGAAUGUCAUGUCUAUUCCCCUAUUUAUAGUUGUAGGGAGUGGACAAGGUUGCUUGUGAUUGGCCAAAGGCUGUCAUUUUGACACUUGGCGGAUUGUAAUUGGUUCUUGCAUUUGACUGGGAUUACCACCUCAUUUGGACACAUGGCGUCACCUUGUUGGUCUUGGAUGCCUAGUCACUGUGACACGUGGCGUGGGUUUGAGCUUCAAGGUGAAAUGGACCUUGGACUUGAAUUUAAUAAAAAUGGACUUAUUUAUUUGUAAAGCCCAAAUUAAUCAUUCAACCUAAUAAACAUGGAUUUAAUCCAAAUUUUAUAUGAAUUAAAUCCAAUAAAAUUUGUGUGUCUAUACUCAUUUAUUUUUAAAUAGAUAAAUAUGGACUUCAACCUAUUUAAGCUCAUAUAAAUAUGAACAAAGUGGAUAAAAUUAAAUAUGAGAAUUCAUAUAGAUCCAUGGAUCACCCAAUUAAAAUAAAAAUUCCUAAUUGCAGUAAAAAGAAAAUGAAAAAAAAAAUGAGGGUGGGGCUAGGGUGGAGGUGGGGGUGCGAUUUUCUUUUAAUGAAAAAUUAUUAUUUAAAAAAAAAAAUAAUGUCAAAAAUAUCUUUAGCGACAAUUAAUUAACGGUAGUAACUUAAUUGCCACUAAUUAUGCAUUUUUAGAAGCAAUUAACACUCUUUGUAUAUGUCCAUAAAACCUUUAACGACAUCGGAUUUAAUGACAAUUAACUAAUGUCUGUAAAAACUUUAGCCUUCUUUAUUAAUGUGUAUAUUUAUCAUGCUAAAAAUUGUUUUUGUUAUAGUGGUGAGGUGGGGUGGUAGGGGUAUGAACAAAUUUGCUUUAAAGAUUUAAUAUUUUUUGUCUUUAGAAAAUUAAAAAAUCAUUUUAUCUAAAUCAUAUUUAAUCAAAUUCAUAUUUAUCCGUAUAUUAUAUGAUUGGAUGAUAGUUCAAUCCAUUUUGACUCAAUCUAUAUUCAAUUAAUCCAAUCCAAUCCACCCGUUUUUCACCCUAAGGUGUAAAGACAUAAUACUCUCUAUUUCUAACUUUUAAUUCAGCCCCAUUGUACUGCAGAUUCAGUUUGUAGUACAGAAAACAAGGUUUGCCCCAAAAUUUAAAGCUACUGCUUGAUAAAAGCUCAUUUAAAUUAGUACUGUUCUGUAACGAUUACAACUCGUAGCAUUAUGGGUAAAAAUUUAUCCGCACCAGAUGUUUAUAUCAGAUCAGAUUAUACUGCCUCUCCCAAAUGCAUAUCGCCACACUUAUGUAUGGGCACCAGACAGUCCACAACGACAAUGGAUAUGCUUUCUAGUUUCUAGUAUCCUCUCUCAAACAUGCAUGUAGCACUCCGAUCCAUAGGCGGAGAAAAAAGGGGCAAAAGAGUUCAUCUAAUAAAUCUUUUUCGCUCAAAAAAUUACAUUAUAUAUAUCAUGUUUAAAUUAUUUAUUAGGUAGAUGUUGAACUCAAUUCAACCUGAUUCUACUUAAAGAAAGGAGGGGCAUAAGUUCUUUUGUUUGUUGUAUUUAUUUCUUUAUAUUUUGAAUUUACUUAAUAAAAAAAUAUUACACUACUGCAUAGUACACUUGAGAACACCCAUAAAAUAUAGUUUUAUGAAGUUAAAAAGAUCCAGAGGAAGAUGUUGUGAGGUCCAGCCUUAUAUCCCAUCUUUUAAGGAAAAAAAUCUUUCUUUGAAAAUAUUUGCAGCAAAUUUGACAAACUUUUGUUGAAAUUGGCUAUCGGCCAAUUAAUAUAAGGUGAAAAAAUGGGCAAACUUCAUGCCUAUAGGCUAUAAAUAGACAUCUACAUCAGUUUAAACACGCGAGGGGAAAUCAAAAGAGGAUUUCUUUAUUUUGAAAAAUUUUAUAUCAUUUUUCUUUUAUUAUAUUUACGGUAAUUUUUUUUGUGUUAUUCCUCAUUUUCCCAGCAGAUGCCACGCACUGUAGGAUAAACAGAGGAACCAUGGAAUAUAAAAUUAGAAUUAAAAACAUACAAUACAAUAUAUUAGUAGGAGUAGAGGUGACAGAAUGAGUAAUUGAUAUGGGUAUUCAUUGAUAUGGGUUAAAAAUGUUUAUUCAUAAAAGAAAAAAUAAUAAUUUGGGUACCCAACUCAUUUAAAAAUAAGUAAAAAUGAAUAAUACUCAUAUUUAUCCAUUUAAAAGUGAUAGUUAAAUGGAUAAUACGGGUAAAAAAUGUUCAUUCAUAAAAGAAAGAAAAGUGAUUAGGGGUGGGUGGUAAAAAAUAUUUUUUUCUAUAAAAUUUUAACUUUUUAUAUAUUUUUUGGGAUAGAGGGGGGCUGGUAGGGAAUGGAGUGGUAAAAAAAAAAUUCAAAUGUUUCUUUUUAAAAAAAAUAAUUUUUUUUGGGAUGGGGGUAGGGGGUGUGGGGGGGANNNNNNNNNNNNNNNNNNNNNNNNNNNNNNNNNNNNNNNNNNNNNNNNNNNNNNNNNAGGGGGAUUGGGUGAAAAAAAGAACUUGUUAAAAAUUAUUUUUUUGUAAAAAAACAAACUAUUUUUUUUCCGAUUUUUUUACAUUUUUUUGGGAUAGGGGGUGGAGGAUGGUAGGGAGGGUGGAGUGAUAAAAUAAAAUUUAAAAAGAUUUUGUUUUUAAAGCUUUUAACAAGAUCUCUACUAUAAUAUGUAUAUCCUACCCAUAUUAUUCAUUGAAUAACUCGUUUUUACCCAUUUAAAAUAUAAAUAAAGUCAAUCCAAGUUAUUUUUAAUCGACUUAUAUUUGACUUGAUUCGUUCGUUUGUCACUUCUAAGUAAGAGUAAUAUAGUCAGGUAAGGAUGACGGAAAAAAAAAAAAUAAUCAAGGAUGACGGCAUGCAUUCAGUAACAGGAAUUUGGAAAACGUAGACGUCCCUCCAUCCAUCCAUCCAUCCCAUAUAAGUUAUUUAUCUUACUAAAUUAAGAAAAUAUUAAAAAAAUAAAUUCUAUAUUAUUCUUGCAAUUAAUUUUUUUUUAAAGUAUUCACAUUUAUUUGUAAAAUUUCCUAAAAAAUUAUUAAGGAGUGAAUUAAUAAAAUUAUCUUUUCAUCUAUAAUUUUUUAAUAUACUUGCAAAAAAAAAUCAACUUAAUAAAUUUAAUUUAAAGUAGAAGAAUAGGCAUGUUAUUUGUGGGCGGAGCCAUUUUUUAUAAAGAGUGGUUUGAUGCAUAUUUUUUAUGGAAAAUUCAUAUGGUAUACAUGAAGUUGAAAACUAGACAGUCUUCGCUAAAUAUGACUCAGAAGAAAUUACACAUUCUUUCCUAAAUUUUUAGCUCCGCCACAAAUGUUGUUCACAAGAAUUUAGAUACACGGUAAAUUAAAGUUUCAUGCUGCAAACAUAUAUAAAUAAAAUCCAAAAAGAAAAAAAAAUAUGUUGUCAUAUUAUAAAGGAGUAUUAGAAUAUAAUAGGCUCAGUGGCGUAGUUGAACACUUCUAUCGAAAAAUCAUACUUAUUUAUAGCAAAUUAUAUAAAAUAUAUAGUUUAAAAUUAUUUUUCACAUAUAUAUAAAAUUCUAAACAUUCUUAAAGAGAAAAAAAUUUCACCUCUGUAAAAAAUAGAACAACUAGUGAUUAGUUAUCAGUAUAUUAUGACCCGUUUGGCAAUAUAUUUUCAAGUAAAAUUUGGAAAAAAAUUUGACAAAUAGUGUGUCCAUAAAACUUGCCAUUAUUUUGGUAAUUCCAAAUACUAGUUUUUCUAGUAUUUGGACCAAAUCUCAUUAUUUGGGCCAAAUCUCAUAUUGGAGCUUUUAAAAAUUCAAAUUCUACACGAAACUUUUAUCUUUUACAUAAAUACCCUCUACUUAUUAACACUAAAACACUCACUCCGAACUAGCACAUUGCUCCAGUGUCAUGGGCACUACUUGUUAUUUGUUGCAACGUAGAUCCAACUAACUUGUUGCGGAAGUCAUGAAUCAUGUUACGUCGACAUUUCUAUAAUUCUAUCUUGCUAAGUAAUACAAUACAAACUUAUAGUUAGAUUUGAUAGUAUCUUAAACUUAUGGAUGUAAAUCAUAUUUCUUAAAAAGUGAAAUAUGUUUCUCCAAUACUGGCUAAACACAUGGUGAAAUUUCACCCAAAUCUUCACUCAAGUAAUAAUUGUCAUACUUGAAAUCUAUGAUCAAACACUAGCAUAGUUAAGUGUGGCAACCCCCAACAUGACUACUACAAUGUAUGAGAAAAUAAAUAAAUUCAACACAUAAUAUUUCAGAUAAUCAUUCAAUUAUUCAUUCUUCUCUUAAAAAGUUAUUCAGAUUUUAAUUCUUCACACAAAAGUCAUUUUGACUAUUAAUUUUUCUCUUAGAAAUUUAUUCAACUUUGAUUUUAACUCAGUAAUCACUCAAUUAAGAGUAUUUUUCUUACAAAGUCAGUCAAACUAUUUAAUUAAUUUUCUAUUAAAAUUUAUCGACAUAAAAAAAAUUAAAUGAAAAUUUUGAAUAAAAUAAACGAAUAUCUAUUUAAAUCAUACAUUUUAAUGACUUGGUUCGCUGAAAAUAUAAUAUUAAUCUUUUUAUUCUAAUAUUAUUCUCCUCUAAAUGUAAUAUUGAUCUUUUAGAGCCUUGCUGAAGUCUUCAUCACCUUAACUCCUUAAGCAACUGUGAAGCUACUUCCUGCGAUAAUUGUAGUAAAUUACUUGUGGGAGUAUUAAGAUAUUAUUUUUUAUCAAAAUAUUAAGUAUAAAAAAAAAUUUAUCUGUAAGUUGCCAAACAUUUUUAUAAAGUUUUAAGCCAUCACUAAUAAGUUGUGUCGUGACUAAGAGUCUAUUUGGCAUUACUGCUAAAAAUAACUAAAUUUUAGAAAUAUUUUUUUUAAAUGUCAUUUUAGAAAAAGUGCUUUUGAAAAAAAAAACAAUUUUUGUUUGGCUAAUUCAUUUGAAAAAUACUUUUCAUAAGCAAAUUGUGUUUUGGCUGAUUUUUAAAAAAAAGUGUUUUUGAGAGUUAAAUUACAAAAAGGACAACUAUUAAUGUACUUUUAAUAUUAAAAUUAUUUAUAGAGAGAAACUAUUUUAAAUAUCUAUUAUAAAAAAACUAAUCACUUUUUUAUUUUUAUUACAUUAAAAUGUACAUAUUUAAAUUUUCAGUCAAUAUUAUACAUUUGUUGGGAGGCUGAAAUCUUUAAUUGUUAUUUUUUUUUCUUUUUUCUAAUCUUCCAAAAAUAUGUUGUUACCUUUUUCUAAUUCUGCAAAAUAAUAUGUAAAAUAAUAUGUAAUAUAUAAAAUAAUAAUAUAUAAACUUAAAAUAAAUUACAAAAUUAAUUAUAUAAAAAUAAAAAUAAAAUUCUUAAAACUGCUUGUGCUUCCGUCUAAAACACUUUUACUAAUUUAUUAAGCACUUGAUUUUUCAACAAAUUUUUUUUUUCUCAAAAUAAGUGUUUCUGGCCUCUCAACAGAUAACAACAAUGUCAAACAAACUCUAAAUUAAUGAAUUUUGGAUUAAAAAUCAAAGAUGAGUGAGUUUAUGAGAGAAAAGUUCAUAAUUGAAUUACUAGGUAAGAUAUCAUCUCGAAUUUCAAUCAUGAAAAAUGGCUAUGACAAAUGCUCUCACCAUUCAUUUAAUAUUAUAAAUACUCGUUACCUUCUCUUAAAUUCUAUAGUACAAAGAAACCUAACAAAGAAAAAAGAAAUGAAAGGAAAGGAAAUUUUCUCUGUUCUACGUAAGCUAAGAGUAGUAGAAAAGUCUCCAGCUGCUGACUUCUCUCCUAGUCUUUGGGGUGAUCGUUUCCAUUUAUUUUCCCUUGACAAUAAGGUAUGUAUUUUGUACAUGUAUUUCUUAUCUUGUUAAAGGAGAUUCAUUUCUGACAUUUUCUUUUUAAAUAUAUUUGCAGGUUGCUGAAAAGUAUGUUGAAGAGAUUGAAACUUUGAAGGAACAAACAAGGAGUAUAUUAAUGUCAGGAAAAACAUUGGCUGAAAAGUUGAAUCUCUUUGAUAUUGUUGAACGCCUUGGAAUUGCUUGUCACUUUGAAAAACAAAUAGACGACAACAUUGAUCCUAACUUUGAGGCUCAUGAAUACAAUGAUUUAUGCAUUUCAUCCCUUCAAUUUCGACUCCUAAGACAACAUGGCUACAAUAUUUCUCCAAGUAAUAUAUCUAUCAAGUUCUACUUCAUUAAUUUCUUGUUAUAUCUUUAGUUUUGUUUUUCCCUAAUUAAAUGUACAAGGACUAACUUGAACCAGAAAUUUUUAACAGAUUCCAAGAUGCAAAGGGAAAUUUAAACAAAUCCAUUGGUAACAACAUCAGGGGUCUAUUGAACUUAUAUGAAGCUUCACAUGUAAGGACUCAUGGAGACAACAUCUUAGAAGAGGUGCUUUCAUUUUCCACUGCUUAUCUAGAAUCUGCAGCUCCACAUUUGAAGUCACCUCUGAGUAAACAAGUGACUCAUGCCCUUGAGCAAUCUCUCCAUAAGGGCAUUCCAAGAGUCGAGACACGCUACUUCAUCUCCAUCUAUGAAGAGGAGGAAUUUAAGAAUGAUGUGCUGCUUCGAUUUGCCAAACUGGACUUCAACUUACUUCAGAUGUUGCACAAACAAGAACUAAGCGAAGUAUCAAGGUACACUAAUAAUUUACAUAAAAAAUAUAAAUUAUUUGUUGAUAGUAAUUUCUAAGAUUGGUACUUAUUCUGUAGGUGGUGGAAAGAUUUAGAUUUUGUGACAACCCUUCCAUAUGCUAGGGACAGAGCAGUCGAGUGCUACUUCUGGACAGUGGGAGUGUAUGCUGAACCUCAAUACUCUCAGGCUCGUGUCAUGCUUGCUAAGACUAUAGCAAUUAUUUCAUUAUUAGAUGACACGUUCGAUGCUUAUGGCACUGUAAAAGAACUUGAGGUCUACACUGAUGCCAUACAGAGGUAUGGACUACUUCUCAAACAUUUUAUCAUUUAAUUAGAUGAUCCCAUAAAGGUGGGCGAACUGUCCAUUUUGGUGUGUGUUUUUAGAGAGGGUCCCUUUUGGUGUUUAAGGUUCAAAAAGUGUCCGUUUUGGUGCCGGGCUCAGGAAAAGACCAUAUCAAACAACAUAUUUAUGUAAAAUUGUAUAUAUUCCCCCUCCUCCCCCCCCCCCCCCCCUACCAAUUUGUAAUUGGAGACAAGCCUUGACGUCAAACACUAGAUGUUUCUCCUUCUUCCUAUGAUGUAUGUUAUGUUAAAUUGAACUUGUCAAAUUCAUUUGCUUUUUCAUUUAUUAGGUGGGAUAUUAGCCAAAUUGAUCGGCUCCCAGAGUACAUGAAAAUCAGCUACAAAGCACUUUUAGAUCUCUAUAACGAUUAUGAAACAGAGUUGUCAAAGGAUGGCAGAUCUGAUGUUGUUUAAUAUGCAAAAGAAAGGGUAUGAAUCGUGAAUUAUACUGGUUAACUCAAUAUUAAUCAGUUUUUUUUUCUCCUCAUUUUUGCUUAUAAUGAAAGUUAUUGUUUUGAUAUGUAGUGAUGGUUGAAUGUCUUUGCUUGUUGUUUGACAGAUGAAAGAAACAGUGAGAAACUACUUUGUGGAAGCCAAAUGGUUAAUUGAUGGAUAUAUGCCACCUUUUUCCGAGUAUCUUAGCCUACGUUAGUUGCUAGCACUUAUUACUUGCUUACAACUACAUCCUGCUUUGACAUGAAGUGUGCUAACAAGGAAGAUUUUGAAUGGUUGGCCAAGAACCCUAAAAUUCUUGAAGCCAAUGUGACCUUAUGUCGAGUCAUUGAUGACCUAGCCACAUAUGAGGUAUACAUUGCAUCAAAUAAAGUUACAUAUAUGCGUUUACCUAGUUGCAACCAUGAAGUGAUAAAAAUUGAUUUCAUACUUCUACGAACACAUUCUAACUUCCAAUCCAGGUUGAGAAGGAUAGAGGUCAGAUUGUAACUGGAAAUUGAGUGUUACAUGAGAGAUCAUGGUGUAUCAACAGAAGAGGCAAUGGAAAAAUUUCAAGAAAUGGCUGAGAUAGCGUGGAAGGAUCUAAAUGAAGGAAUUCUACGACCAACUCCUGUAUCUAUGAAGAUUCUCACUCGUAUUCUCAAUCUUGCUCGCAUCAUGGGUGUCAUAUACAACCAUAACCAAGAUGGAUACACUCAUCCUGAAAAAGUACUAAAACCUCACAUUAUGGCCUUGUUUGUGGACUCCAUUAAAAUUUAAAGCAUCAAUUGUUGUAUACGGGAGCACUUGGUUACUAGCCCCUCAAAUAAGUAAUUGAUCUACAUUUGAUGGUAUAUCUGUAGCUAGUUACGGUAGCUAGGUAAUCAAAUAAUAAUAAAGAAUAUUCAAAGUAUCAAUUUCUUACAGGAAAUAAAUUAUAAUCUCAAUCAUUAAACUACUUAUAAGACGAAUCGUGAUACUAUACUGAGACACUUGGUUAAUCAUGUCCUUGUGGUCUAAUAAUGCAGGUCUAUUGAUCUAGUUGUCCAUAUUGACUAGCCUCAUCAAAAAUAAAAUUAUUGAUUAUGACCAUUUCAUUAUUUUAGCAAUUACUAGUACCUUUUUUCGCAUUCCUGGACUUUAUAAUGUCAUAGACCGGAAAUAAAAGGGAAAAAAAAGAGAGAGAUUUGGGGGAGGAGAACCAGGGAAGAGGCUGUGCAUGGAAUGGGCAACUAGUAAAAUUGUACAUCUCAUGCGCUGCCUCGUCCCUGUCUAUCCUCUCCACUUUUGAAUAUCAUUCUACACCAUAAUUACCUCAAUAUAUAGGGACUCCUUAAUUUCGCCAAUAAUGCUAAACAUUCCUUCCAUCUGGAGUAUACAUGAAAAGGCCUUUUCCUGAUGAAAAUUUUCAAUGACCAAAAGGUAAUUAGUGCAAUGGCUGUUUUAUGAUGGAG
rnacentral:lncRNA from 1 species